GGGGCUGUGGCGCAAUGGGAGCGCAGCUGCUUUGCAAGCAGAAGGUUGGGGGUUCAAGUCCCCUCAGUUCCACCA
rnacentral:tRNA from 1 species